AAUCCGUAUUGUCUUUACCCAAAAACUCAGCACUCAAUUUUCAAAAUUCAUUUCAAAAGCUCUGAGCUGCUUCACUUUACAGCUCACAGCUUAUUGAAAAAUGCCAGAGAUUGUAUUGGGUUCACAUACUGUAAGAUCCCAUGGACGUCAAAUUCUCUGGAUACAUGUGUAUGACUGGCUGAUUCUUAUACUUCUUGGCGUAAUAGAGAUCGUUUUGAAUGUCAUAGAACCAUUUCACCGCUUUGUCGGAAAGGAUAUGAUGGCAGACCUGACAUAUCCUAUGAAACCAAACACUGUUCCCUUUUGGGCUGUUCCUAUGAUUGGAAUUGUGCUCCCUUGUAUUAUCAUUUAUGCGUACUAUUUCUUCAGAAAGGAUGUCUAUGAUCUUCACAAUGCCAUAUUAGGCCUUCUGUAUUCUACUCUUAUAACUGGUGUUAUAACUGAUGCAAUUAAAGAUGGUGUUGGUCGACCUCGCCCAGACUUCUUUUGGCGCUGUUUCCCAAAUGGCACAGGGAUUUAUGAUCCUGUCACAAAGAAUGUUAUGUGUACUGGAGAUAAGAGUGUUAUUAAGGAAGGACACAAAAGUUUUCCAAGUGGACAUACUUCUUGGGCCUUUGCCGGCCUUGGUUUUCUUGCAUUGUACUUGUCGGGGAAAAUCCGGGUGUUUGAUCGUAAGGGCCAUGUCGCAAAGCUCUGUCUUACUUUUCUACCUUUACUUGUUGCUGCUAUGGUAGCCGUUUCUCGAGUCGAUGACUAUUGGCAUCAUUGGCAAGAUGUCUUUGGUGGAGCAAUUAUAGGGAUAACAGUCUCUACAUUAUGUUACUUGCAAUUCUUUCCACCGCCAUAUGAUUCGGAUGGUUGGGGACCUUUUGCAUAUUUCCAGAUGUUGUCGGAAUCUCGAAAUGGGGUUCAAACCAACUCCACCAGCCGUCUUGAUGUACAGGCAUCGGAGCUUGAAAGCGUAUGUGUCGAAUCUCAACACCGGAGGGAAAUGUCAAGAUCCACUACUCAGGACACUAGCCCGAUUAUCAUGCAUGAAACGGAAGAUGGAAGGAGACGCUGACUAUCAAGUCUUUCGCCAAUGCACUGUAGAGAAGAAUGGACAUAAAAUACCAGGUACGGAUAAUCUCACCUCCAUCACAAUCAUUAAGAAAGAGUCUCCUAUAGAUUGUAACCAAUACGCUUCUUCAAUUUAUAAUAAAUAGAUUUUAAUUCGCUUUGAAAUUGUCCAAAUUUAAUAUCAUAUAGAGUUAAUACAAUGAAACAAUGUUAGUUUUGGGCAUGUCCUUUUAGAAUUUAGUGUCAUUUUUAUUCUCUUUAUUAACUCUUGUUCGGCUGCCUUAGGGUCUUGAAGUUCUUCAAUUUGUUUUUAUAUCUGGGAUUUUAUUGUUAAGUGACAUUUAAUUGAACCAAUUGACUUAGUCGUCGACAUUCACC